rnacentral:tRNA from 1 species
AUUUAGGUCAGCUAAUAAAGCUAAUGAGUUCAUACCUCAUAAAUGGAUUAUUUAUUUUGCCUUCUA